rnacentral:lncRNA from 1 species
UAUCACUGUUUAGCAAUACCCUGUCAUGGUAACAUAAUCCAAGUUAGCCAGGAAUGUACUGUUUUGAUGACCAGCAGAAUGUCUGGAAUUCCCUAAAUUAUUACUGGGAAUUGAAACAUGAAUUAAAACACUGAAUGUCUUAAUAAAAAUGUAGCAAUGCAGUAAGGGUAAGAGGAUAAAAAAAUGUCAUUAGCUCAGUAUUAAAAAACAGAAGUCAAAGCAGCUUGAUAUAAAAACAAACCUGUGUGAUUAGUGGGUGAGUGAUGUCACUAACCACACCCACUUUGCAAAUGCACAUUCGAAUGUCUACAUUCAUUCAAACUGCUGUGUCAGUGAAUUGUAUCUUCUUCUUCAUUCACAUUUAAUAAAGGGAAUCCCUAAAGUUUGUCAUUUCAGUCUCUCCCAUCUCUGCAAACAUGAUUUGGAUUAAAACUAAAUAAAUCACCCAGAAUAUUAACAUGGACAGAUGUCGACUGCUGAUUCUUAUGACAGGGGUAUUUGCUGACAGCAUUGCGCCAAAAGAAGAGGGUUCAAAUAAAACCAGGAGAGAAGGAGAAUCUGUCACGCUGAGCUGCAUAUAUAAAAGCAAAAAUAAUGUUUUGCUUUACUGGUACAGACAGUAUCCUAAUAGAGAACCUCAGUAUUUGUUAUUUAAAAGUUCUCGUCUGUCUGGUGAAGUGAAUGUAUCAUCCAAGCGUUAUAAGAUAACUACAUCUCGGACAUCCACUUCACUCACCAUAAACAAUGUGUAUCUGUCAGAUUCGGCUCUCUAUUACUGUGCUCUAAAAGUAGGAGCCCAGUGAUACAAAGUCCACAGACGCUUUACAAAAACACACACAUAAUUGGCGUGUCAGUGAUCCACCACAACUAUGUGUCUUAACCCACAAGACAACAGGAUGCGGUCACACCUGCUGAAGAAACAAAAAAGUGCACCCCCACCUUUUGUUGGUUAGGUCCACCUCUUUAGGCUUCCUCAAACUUGUUGUUGUAAACUUAAUUGUAUGAACAUAUAGCAAAAUUGUGUGGUAUUUAUAUAUUUUUAUACAUU